rnacentral:rRNA from 1 species
GACGAACGCUGGCGGCGUGCUUAACACAUGCAAGUCGAGCGGUAAGGCCCUUUCGGGGGUACGACGAGCGGCGAACGGGUGAGUAACACGUGGGUGACCUGCCCUCCAGCUCUGGGAUAAGCCCGGGAAACUGGGUCUAAUACUGGAUAUGACUCCAUGACGCAUGUUGUGGGGUGGGAAAGCCUUGUGCGGCUGAGGGAUGGGCCCGCGGCCUAUCAGCUUGUUGGGUGGGGGAUGGCCUACCAAGGCGACGACGGGUAGCCGG